UCCGAUAGAGGUUGUGAUCAUGGAAUGCAAUAUGACACUAGGGUUGAGUUCUCUAAUUUUGACAAAAAUGACCACAUAUCUUCUCCAUGAAAGAUCCAACAAUUCACCAUAAGCUUGACAUAGAUUGACCAAAGCUAUGGAUGUUGUGUAAUGAGGGCGGCUAAUUGGAUAUUGUGAUCUGAAACAUUGGGCUAAGGUUGAGAAUGAAUCAAUAGAUCACGAGGCAAGCGCUUAUACCACGUUAAUGUUGGUUCCUUGAGGGAGGUGGAGAAAACUUUACACAUCACCGCGUCAGCAUUGGAAUACAAGUUUACUUGCAUGGUAAAUGCAUCCAAGUGUUCGUUCGGAUCUAAGGUACCAUCAUAUCUUUCACUGUACAACGACUUCUAGGCUAUGGGUAAAGGUGCAUCCAUGAUGCCAUCGACAAAAGGGUGCCCGUGAAUGGCAUGAUUAUUGUAGGAGAAGAGUUGAGUAUGGCUUUCCUGAGUGUGUGUUUUGACAUGGGUGGAUGGUUGGGAGGAUGAGGAGUGAGGUGGAGUUGGUGGUGGUAGGGGUAGUGGAGGUGGAUGAUGAAUGGCAAGUCUUGCUCUAAGGUUUGCAUUCUUCUCUCAUAACCGUCACAUGUCCGCCUUAUUUCUUUGCCUCGAGGCCUCCAAAUCAGCCUAAGUUUUUUUUUUUUGCAUAGUGGUUCAAUUUGUUCUCCAAAUUCCUACAUUGUUGAUGUCUUUGCUCUUGUGGAGCGCACAAACGAACUGGGGUCGCCUCUCCUUGUUGCUACCAUCUUGUGGUCGAGGGAAAAAAAAAUUCAUUGGCCCCACGAUGGACACUAAAUGUUUUGGCUGAGUUUUGGGCAAGUUCCAAGCG
rnacentral:lncRNA from 1 species